rnacentral:rRNA from 1 species
GACGAACGCUGGCGGCGUGCUUAACACAUGCCAGUCGAACGGAAAGGCCCUGCUUGCAGGGUACUCGAGUGGCGAACGGGUGAGUAACACGUGGGUGAUCUGCCCUGCACUUCGGGAUAAGCCUGGGAAACUGGGUCUAAUACCGGAUAGGAGCCAUUUUUAGUGUGAUGGUUGGAAAGUUUUUUCGGUGUAGGAUGAGCUCGCGGCCUAUCAGCUUGUUGGUGGGGUAAUGGCCUACCAAGGCGGCGACGGGUAGCCGGCCUGAGAGGGUGGACGGCCACAUUGGGACUGAGAUACGGCACAGACUCCUACGGGAGGCAGCAGUGGGGAAUAUUGCACAAUGGGCGCAAGCCUGAUGCAGCGACGCCGCGUGGGGGAUGACGGCCUUCGGGUUGUAAACUCCUUUCGCUAGGGACGAAGCUUUUUGUGACGGUACCUAGAUAAGAAGCACCGGCUAACUACGUG